rnacentral:rRNA from 1 species
UACGAAGGGUGCAAGCGUUAAUCGGAAUUACUGGGCGUAAAGGGUGCGUAGGCGGUUCGUUAAGUCUGUUGUGAAAUCCCCGGGCUCAACCUGGGAAUGGCAAUGGAUACUGGCGAGCUAGAGUGUGAUAGGGGAUGGUGGAAUUCCCGGUGUAGCGGUGAAAUGCGUAGAGAUCGGGAGGAACAUCAGUGGCGAAGGCGGCCAUCUGGAUCAACACUGACGCUGAAGCACGAAAGCGUGGGGAGCAAACAGG